rnacentral:rRNA from 1 species
UCGGGAAUUUUGGGCAAUGGGCGAAAGCCUGACCCAGCAACGCCGCGUGAAGGAUGAAGUAUUUCGGUAUGUAAACUUCGAAAGAAUAGGAAGAAUAAAUGACGGUACUAUUUAUAAGGUCCGGCUAACUACGUGCCAGCAGCCGCGGUAAUACGUAGGGACCAAGCGUUGUUCGGAUUUACUGGGCGUAAAGGGCGCGUAGGCGGCAAUUCAAGUCAUCUGUGAAAUCUCCGGGCUUAACUCGGAACGGUCAGAUGAUACUGCUUUGCUAGAGUGCAGAAGGGGCAAUCGGAAUUCUUGGUGUAGCGGUGAAAUGCGUAGAUAUCAAGAGGAACACCUGAGGCGAAGGCGGGUUGCUGGGCUGAUACUGACGCUGAGGCGCGAAAGCUAGGGUAGCAAACGGGAUUAGAUACCCCGGUAGUCCCUGAGCGGGCUGGCAAGGCGCAU